UACGUAGGGUGCGAGCGUUAAUCGGAAUUACUGGGCGUAAAGCGUGCGCAGGCGGUUCUGCAAGUCAGAUGUGAAAUCCCCGGGCUUAACCUGGGAACUGCGUUUGAAACUACGGAGCUAGAGUGCGGCAGAGGGGGGUGGAAUUCCACGUGUAGCAGUGAAAUGCGUAGAUAUGUGGAGGAACACCGAUGGCGAAGGCAGCCCCCUGGGCCGACACUGACGCUCAGGCACGAAAGCGUGAGGAGCAAACAGG
rnacentral:rRNA from 1 species